ensembl:lncRNA
CUCCAACCCAUCUCAGACUGCAGUUUUUGGCAGAGUCAUUUCUAGAUUUUAUUCAUUCAGUCAAAAUUUAUUGAAUGUUUACAGUAUGUCAGGUCCUGUGUGCCAGAUGGGGAGAAUAGAGAGAUCAUCUUUGCUUUGAACCAGACCCGCCUGCAGCAAGAGAGCCUGCGAGCAGGCAGCCUUUCAGGUCCCCUACACACAGAGGACCUCUUCAAACACUGUGACUGUGGGGACCUCGGCUCCAUCAUCUUCAGCCGUGGCAGCUCCCAGAUGAGAGCCCUUGACCCCUGCCCAGCUCAGCACACAUUUAAGUGCAAGAAUAAGGACAUUACCUGCCGACACCGGGACAUCCUGUGUACAAAAGAUUGAGGUCACGAAGGGCUCUAAAAAUAACCGUGCCAUGUAUGUGUUGAGUGAGAUGCUGCAGUCAACAAAGACAUUCUUUAGGAAACUGAGACAUUCUUUAGGAAACUGAGGAACAGUGGGAGAAUUCAUUCCAGAUGAAGUCAAAGGAUAAAGCUUCGUGGGACUGG